rnacentral:rRNA from 1 species
AGAGUUUGAUCAUGGCUCAGAUUGAACGCUGGCGGCAGGCCUAACACAUGCAAGUCGAGCGGUAGCACAGGAGAGCUUGCUCUCUGGGUGACGAGCGGCGGACGGGUGAGUAAUGUCUGGGAAACUGCCUGAUGGAGGGGGAUAACUACUGGAAACGGUAGCUAAUACCGCAUAACGUCUUCGGACCAAAGUGGGGGACCUUCGGGCCUCACGCCAUCAGAUGUGCCCAGAUGGGAUUAGCUAGUAGGUGGGAUAAUGGCUCACCUAGGCGACGAUCCCUAGCUGGUCUGAGAGGAUGACCAGCCACACUGGAACUGAGACACGGUCCAGACUCCUACGGGAGGCAGCAGUGGGGAAUAUUGCACAAUGGGCGCAAGCCUGAUGCAGCCAUGCCGCGUGUGUGAAGAAGGCCUUCGGGUUGUAAAGCACUUUCAGCGAGGAGGAAGGGCAGUGUGUUAAUAGCACAUUGCAUUGACGUUACUCGCAGAAGAAGCACCGGCUAACUCCGUGCCAGCAGCCGCGGUAAUACGGAGGGUGCAAGCGUUAAUCGGAAUUACGGGGCGUAAAGCGCACGCAGGCGGUUUGUUAAGUCAGAUGUGAAAUCCCCGCGCUUAACGUGGGAACUGCAUUUGAAACUGGCAAGCUAGAGUCUUGUAGAGGGGGGUAGAAUUCCAGGUGUAGCGGUGAAAUGCGUAGAGAUCUGGAGGAAUACCGGUGGCGAAGGCGGCCCCCUGGACAAAGACUGACGCUCAGGUGCGAAAGCGUGGGGAGCAAACAGGAUUAGAUACCCCGGUAGUCC